rnacentral:rRNA from 1 species
UACGUAGGGGGCUAGCGUUGUCCGGAAUCAUUGGGCGUAAAGCGCGCGUAGGCGGCCCUCUUAGUCGCGUGUGAAAGCCCCGGGCUCAACCUGGGAAUUGCGCGCGAAACGGGCGGGUUUGAGUUCGGGAGAGGAGCGUGGAAUUCCCAGUGUAGAGGUGAAAUUCGUAGAUAUUGGGAAGAACACCGGUGGCGAAGGCGGCGCUCUGGCACCGAGACUGGACGCUGAGGCGCGAAAGGCGGUGGGGAGCAAAAGCAGGUUGGAGAAACCCACUAG